rnacentral:rRNA from 1 species
UACGUAGGGUGCGAGCGUUGUCCGGAUUUAUUGGGCGUAAAGAGCUCGUAGGCGGUUUGUCGCGUCUGCCGUGAAAGUCCGGGGCUCAACUCCGGAUCUGCGGUGGGUACGGGCAGACUAGAGUGCAGUAGGGGAGACUGGAAUUCCUGGUGUAGCGGUGAAAUGCGCAGAUAUCAGGAGGAACACCGAUGGCGAAGGCAGGUCUCUGGGCCGACACUGACGCUGAGGAGCGAAAGCGUGGGGAGCGAACAGG